rnacentral:rRNA from 1 species
GAAGGUCCUCUGGAUUGUAAACUUCUUUUAUUUGGGAAGAAAUCUAUCUUUUCUUGGAUAGUUGACGGUACCAGAUGAAUAAGCACCGGCUAACUCCGUGCCAGCAGCCGCGGUAAGUACGGAGGGUGCAAGCGUUAUCCGGAUUCACUGGGUUUAAAGGGUGCGUAGGUGGGCAAGUAAGUCAGUGGUGAAAUCUCCGGGCUUAACCCGGAAACUGCCAUUGAUACUAUUUGUCUUGAAUACUGUGGAGGUCAGCAGAAUAUGUCAUGUAGCGGUAGAAAUGCUUAGAUAUGACAUAGAACACCAAUUGCGAAGGCAGCUGGCUACACAAAUAUUGACACUGAGGCACGAAAGCGUGGGGAUCAAACAGGAUUAGAUACCCUGGUAGUCCACGCCCUAAACUAUGGAUACUCGACAUUUGCGAUAAACUGCAAGUGUCUGAGCGAAAGCAUUAAGUAUCCCACCUGGGAAGUACGAUCGCAAGAUUAG